rnacentral:lncRNA from 1 species
AUAGGUUUUUCGGUAAAACUGACGAUGAAGCGGUGAUUCAGUCUCUUGUCAGUGUUGACUUUGGUGAGCCUUCUAUAGACUUCUACCAAAAAUCACAGAAC